UGCAAUAACAGAUCUGUGAUGCCCUUAGAUGUUAUGGGCCGCACGCGCGCUACAGUGAUGCAUUCAACGAGCCUAUCCUUGGCCGAGAGGCCCAGGUAAUCUCCGAACCCCUCCCCCCGAAAAGGAUAGAUUAUUGCAAUUAUUAGUGUUCAACGAGGAAUGCAUACUAAGCGUUUUUCAUCAGCUAGGAUAGAUUACGUCCCUGCCCUUUGUACACACCGCCCGUCGCUCCUACCGAUUGGGUGUGCUGGUGAAGUGUUAGGAUUGGUUUCAGUUGGUGGCAACACCGAUUGAGACUGAAAAGUUCCCUAAACCCUCCCACCUAGAGGAAGGAGAAGUCGUAACAAGGUUUCCGUAGGUGAACCUGCGGAAGGAUCAUUG
rnacentral:rRNA from 2 species